rnacentral:rRNA from 1 species
UUGAACGCUGGCGGCAGGCCCAACACAUGCCAGUCGAACGGUAACAGGAAGAAGCUUGCUUCUUUGCUGACGAGUGGCGGACGGGUGAGUAAUGUCUGGGAAACUGCCUGAUGGAGGGGGAUAACUACUGGAAACGGUAGCUAAUACCGCAUAACGUCGCAAGACCAAAGAGGGGGACCUUCGGGCCUCUUGCCAUCGGAUGUGCCCAGAUGGGAUUAGCUAGUAGGUGGGGUAACGGCUCACCUAGGCGACGAUCCCUAGCUGGUCUGAGAGGAUGACCGGCCACCGUGGAAAUGAGACACGGCCAGGACCCCGAGGGGGGGAGGCGGGGGGAAAGAUUGAAAAAGGGGGGCAAGCUGGAGGCAGCCAGGCGGGGGGGAGAAAGAAGGCCUUCGGGUUUUAAAGUACUUUCAGGGGGGAGGAAGGGGGAAAAGUUAAUACCUUAACUCAUUGAGGUGCCCCGAAGAAGAAGCACCGGCUAACUCCGG